CAAUGUUAGCGCUAAUGGCAUCUGUCAUCCCAUUGAUUGCCAGGAUAGAUUUGGCUGAUCUGCCUGUCUAGGCAGGUGUCCCCUUCCCCCUGCACUGCUUCAUGUAUGUCCUUCCAGAAAGGGUAUGCUUUGCCAAAGACGACACCUCCCCUUAACGGUGAAGAAGCCAUCUUUGGUCAAAGGUAAACUAACUACUAGCUGUGACCCCCGAUAGAACCUCCAAACAAGCUCACUAAAAUAUAUAAUGUUCCAGUUGCUCUAGAUUUGAGAGUCACUAAACUCGACUGGCUUUAAUUAAUUUAAAAUAAUUUAUCUUCAUCAAAUUAUGU
rfam:Rattus norvegicus chromosome 2, whole genome shotgun sequence.